CUGUCAUUCAAAACAAAACAGAGAAUUGAUCGAGAUGCAAACUGUCUAUUCAAUAAUGGAACACACAGCAACAGGAAUUUGUCGUGAUUUGCUGCAUUCAGGCUAAACAUCAUCUAAGAACAGAUUCUCUAUAUUCCACCAUCGGGUUCUUCCAAGGUUUUUUUUUCCAAAAUAUAUAUUUUUAUCAAGGCUCAUAUGGCGUUAGCCUGACGGGGCCGGAGUUGAAUAUUUUGAGAGUUUUUCUUAUUAUCUAUGUUAGUAAUAUGUAACCGAUUACUCGCGGUCGGCUCGAGGUUAGUAUUACAAGUGUUCUCGUAAUUGGGAUGUUGCUGUAUCCAAUGCUCUGUACGUGUGCCCGACACGGGAUACUUCCUAUUGGGAUGCAGCUGACCAUUAAUCAGCGACGCCCCCCUUGUAUGUACCCCAUAUCUAGCGUGGUGCGUCUUCUCGACUCGAGGAAUCCAGGAUAGAAUGGUCACUAGCCGGCGCAAUCAUCAGCUCGUGUAGAGUUGUCAUGAGCGGUACAACCUUUGGCUCUUGUUGAAUGAUCAGUGGACUGCACAACCUUUGGCCCGUGUAUCUGUAAAGAGUGUGUGUAUGUAUUGCCGCGACUAAGUAAAAGUUUAUAGAUCGGAUAGGAGGGAUAUGAAACAGGGACACAGUAGUAGGAAACAUCAUUAAACGUUGACAUCGGCGUUUCUGAGGAACAGGUAUAGAUGAAGCAGAAGAUCAGGAUCCCGGCUACCUAAGAUAUCCCGGACGGGGAUAUCCGAUUGUCUGCCUUGUGCUCUCAGUACUCUAGAGAGCUGAGAGCGAGCAGCAUGGAACCGGAUACACGACCAGACAACAUGCUCCAGGGUUAUUUGGAAUUCAGGAGAAUUGCAACGGAACAGGCAUAAGACUGGCAGAAGUUUUCAACACUAAGGGAAUACGUGAAAUUAUACACUUCAUAGCGUUAUAUGUGAUCCGAAAAGUUUCUCAUAGGUAACAUUUUAGCCAAUUAUAAAGGAUAUUAGCGUCAGGUAUUGAUAAUAUCUCUUCUUGUGGAAUUUGAUUAAAUUAUAUUUCUUUCAGUAGUGAAGAUUUAAAAGUUAAAUGACAUUGGAAAGAUCAUCAGUCUUCAACUGGCACUGGACAUAGGACAAUCUUCUCCUAUCUCUAUUAUAAUAUCACUAUCUGUGAAUAUCAGGUAGAAUUCUCUAAACGCUGUCCCCCUCCAACGAGAGGAUCUCAAUUCUCCAGUGUACGUUUUCGGUCCUGUUAUUAGACCCGUCGUUCAUCAUCUCAUCGACGCUGUCGAAUCAGUUAAAUCGUUGCAGUGACUGAAAAGGGAUUCAUUCUAUUGGAAUAAUUCAAUCAUUCAUUCAGAUCAUUCAACUUCAAACUGCGUCAGGAAAUUUCACUGGCUUCUGAAGGCUCAGACAAGCCGAUCGGAAGUUUUUUUACGUAGUUCAUAAAAGAAUAGAUUCCAAAACAGAUGCAGUUUUAGUUGUGCAUUUUGAGUGAUUUUGUUAACCAUUGAAUUGUAAAUUGUUAUGUUAACACUGCAAACAAAUUUUUAUUCUCACAAUGCCCAAUAUGAACAAUUAAUCAA